UUCUUCUUGUCGUCGCUUGUCGCUUUUGACGGUGAUGGAUGAGGUGGUCGAGUGUCCCGUUUGGGUACUUGGAAAUGCAUGGCCGGUGGCGCGUAUGUGAAUGACGUGGUCUCCAAGUGCGCGCCGAUGGUUCGUGGGUGUGGAUUGGCCGUGGUUUAGGGUUUUGGGUGGGCUCUGACUCCAAGACCAAGAGUAGACUCUGACUAGAGUGACUCGGACAACAGUUCUGACCAACACACACACA
rnacentral:misc_RNA from 1 species